rnacentral:rRNA from 1 species
CGGUGUAGCGGUGAAAUGCGUAGAUAUCGGGAAGAACACCAGUGGCGAAGGCGCUCUGCUGGGCCAUCACUGACGCUCAUGGACGAAAGCCAGGGGAGCGAAAGGGAUUAGAUACCCCUGUAGUCCUGGCCGUAAACGAUGAACACUAGGUGUCGGGGGAAUCGACCCCCUCGGUGUCGUAGCCAACGCGUUAAGUGUUCCGCCUGGGGAGUACGCACGCAAGUGUGAAACUCAAAGGAAUUGACGGGGGCCCGCACAAGCGGUGGAGUAUGUGGUUUAAUUCGAUGCAACGCGAAGAACCUUACCAGGGUUUGACAUCCUGCGAAUCUCUUGGAAACAGGAGAGUGCCUUCGGGAACGCAGUGACAGGUGGUGCAUGGCUGUCGUCAGCUCGUGUCGUGAGAUGUUGGGUUAAGUCCCGCAACGAGCGCAACCCACGUCUUUAGUUGCCAGCAUUUAGUUGGGCACUCUAGAGAGACUGCCGGUGAUAAACCGGAGGAAGGUGUGGAUGACGUCAAGUCAUCAUGCCCCUUACAUCCUGGGCUACACACGUACUACAAUGCUACGGACAAAGGGCAGCAAGUUCGCGAGGACAAGCAAAUCCCAUAAACCGUGGCUCAGUUCAGAUCGUAGGCUGCAACUCGCCUACGUGAAGGCGGAAUCGCUAGUAAUCGCAGGUCAGCAUACUGCGGUGAAUACGUUCCCGGGCCUUGUACACACCGCCCGUCACACCAUGGAAGUUGGCCACGCCCGAAGCCGUU